rnacentral:lncRNA from 1 species
GGCAGACUCCUGUGCUAACAGGUUAGAUGGAGGUUUCCAAUGGUGCCUGCCAGCAUGUCUGUGAGCAUGGCUGAAUUAGAUCACAAUAAUGGCUGCUGCCAAUGUCACAGUUCCUGGGGGCCCACCCACCUCCUGCCUCCCCAGGUUCCUGGCUGAUUUUUCAAUGUGAUGCUUUUAAGCCAUUUGUGGAGACAAAGAAGGCGUUUUAGGAUCAUUUAAGAAAAUGAACUCAUAAUAACAUAUGGUAGCUGACUUCAGUAUGGAUUUUCCACUGCAUUGAUCAACUCAGUGAAAUUCUCUUACAUAAAUACAAAUGUUCACAAGACAAAGAUAUCCGUCCAGCAUGGAUGUUGUUCAGAAAGAGGAAAGGAAAAUCCUGCUUUCCACUUGGUGUCGGCUGUAUGCACUUCUCUCAGUCCUCUUGGACGCCGUUGGAUCGCAAUCCAUAGCAUAUUUUACAAAUGAAGAGCAUACGUAAAGAGAGAAGUCUAACAGAUGGCUCCGGGAAAUGCGUAAUAAAUGAAAAGAAACAACAGUGCGCCUUACUAAAACUGAGCAAAGCAGCCUUGGAGGGUGUUGCUGUUUGCCGCAGUCUGAGGACCUGAAGCACAGCUCUUUGCAGCAGACGGAUGGAGUGAUAAAUGGCUGAGCAAAUGCAAAGGCCAUGGGAGAAAUACUCUGAACGUUCUCAUGAGAUAUAUUGUAUUUUAGUUUUUUAGACCUUUCUUAAGUCUAAGGAAUGAAAAAUAUAAUACGCCACAGUCACCAACACAUUUAAAAGACAAGAAAUCGUGUCUAACAAAACAAUUUUUAAAAUGCUGUAGAUCCUUUUGAAGGAAACAGCACUGAACCCAGUUGAAGGUGAAGAUGAUAGAUGUAUGACAUUAGAUUUUUGGCAUUGAAAUUAAGGAAUACAAUAAAAUCAAUAUUGAGAAAUGAUAAGAAAGCAAAGGACAGACAAAGGCCAGAACCUCCUAAACAAUUUUCGUCAAAGC